CGUUUUCUGGAAGGUGUAUAUAUUCAUCUAUACUGAACCCCAGACAUUCGCAAUUGUAGUAUAAGCAUCGAUCAACGCGAGACUCGAAAUACAUUAUCCAGGGUUACGGUUUUCUGCAAUUUUGACUCUCAUGGCUUCUUCCUCUAUCAUCACUCCGGAGGAUGUGCUUGAGUCCCUCAUGAACGACGGCACAAUCGAUGCCCUCAGAUUGAAGAUCAUCAACCAGCUCAAGGCCAAUGAGGAAUUGAAGAGCACUACUAUAAAGAUGGCUGAACAGAGUAGGGUUCUGAACACCCCUGGAGCUGAGAAACAGACCAAAAGAGAGCUGUUUGAUGCGCUUCGGCAAGAGCUCGAAGCUUCUGUACUUGAAAAAGCCUCUAAAUCAGUUUGGGAGUUAAUUUUAGACAAUAAUGGCCUGGGAAAGGAGAUAAGUGAAACAGUUGAAAAAGUGUUUUGUCGAUUGAGUGGCCAAGAGCCUCCUUUAUUUCCACUUCCAAAUGGGGAACCACAACCUGAUAAGGAGGCUGACAGCAGAAAAGAUAAAGGCAAAGGAAAGCAAAAAGAAAACGAGAAUGUAAAUUUAAACACGCCACCAAAGAAAAGAAGCUUUGCCGAAAUAAAUUCAGAAGGAGCAGAAGAAACUACAACCAGGUCUUCUGAUCCUGCAGCGAUGUCAGAAGGCUCUGGCAAAUCACCGCUUUCAAUCUCAAAAACUUGAUUUAUGCUUCAUCUUUAAACUAUUUUAAGGUUGUUACAGGACACAUUAGGAAUAUAAUUUGAACAUCAUGAUUUAUGCAAUGGUUGAAGUCCACUGGUUGACAUGCUAUUAUAUCAGUCUGCUUGCCCCAAAGCAAUUAAAUCCCUCAGGGCACAUUAUUCUUUCUCUUUACUUUCAAUCUAGAAGGGGUGGUUUUGUGAUGGCAAUACGCAACCAAGGAAACUGGAAACCUUGGACUCCUUUUUAAGUCAAUGGUUGUGGGUGGCACCUUUGCUCAGAAGUGAUGUUUCAUCCAGCUUUGAAAUCCAUGAACCAGCUUCUGCUUAUAGCUCCUUCAGGUGGUUCUCUUGCUGCCCCAGGCUACCCUACCAAUAAAAAUAAAAAAUAAAUCAAUAAGAAGACAUAGGAUAUUCUCUUGGCCACUCACUGUCCAUUUGCUGUUUUGGUAUAAUUUCUCUUGAAAUAAAUUUUUAAAGAAUGAUCUUAGAAUUUUUCAGAGAUCUGAUUUAUGUUUGAGAAUGAUGUUAAACAGUGAGCGCUUAAAUAAGUUUGUUAUUGAAAAUAGUAUUAUUACUAUUAUAUGUUUCAUGGUUUGGGUCCAAAUUUUUCUAAAGGUAUUAAGUUCAAGUUUCUAGAUCAACGUAUCAAUCUGCCUAGUUAAUUCAUAAAAUCGUCCAGUUUAUUAGUCUAGGUCCUCAAGUCGAGUUUACAAGUUGAGUUUUACCAUCCAACUUUAUUUAAAUUUCCUAAGUUUAUGUGAACUAUUGAGUUUGAAAACCUUAAUUUCUAUACCAAAGUACUAUGUCCUUGAAGUCUCAAACUUUACGAUAAUUUGCUUCGAGUCUUUUCAAAUAAUAGUUUAAGCUUCUUGAAAAUCUAUUUAUCAUAAUCUUCUGGGAGUCAAAACUAAAUGUUUUUUUGAAAUAUUUGGAUCUAUAUCAAAAUGAAGUUUUGAAUAUUAGUGAUAAAAUGGUUUACUAAAUACUUAGUUAAGCCAAAAGUGAGUCUGCAAUAAUUAUUAUUGCUUAAAAAUGAAGUUACCAAGAAAGACACGUUACAU